rnacentral:rRNA from 1 species
GACGAACGCUGGCGGCGUGCUUAACACAUGCAAGUCGAACGGAAAGGCCCUGCUUUUGUGGGGUGCUCGAGUGGCGAACGGGUGAGUAACACGUGAGUAACCUGCCCUUGACUUUGGGAUAACUUCAGGAAACUGGGGCUAAUACCGGAUAUGAGCUCCUGCUGCAUGGUGGGGGUUGGAAAGUUUCGGCGGUUGGGGAUGGACUCGCGGCUUAUCAGCUUGUUGGUGGGGUAGUGGCUUACCAAGGCUUUGACGGGUAGCCGGCCUGGGAGGGUGACCGGCCACAUUGGGACUGAGAGACGGCCCAGACGCCUACGGGAGGCAGCAGUGGGGAAUAUUGCACAAUGGGCGGAAGCCUGAUGCAGCAACGCCGCGUGCGGGAUGACGGCCUUCGGGUUGUAAACCGCUUUCGCCUGUGACGAAGCGUGAGUGACGGUAAUGGGUAAAGAAGCACCGGCUAACUACGU